CGGGGUGAGUAAUGUCUGGGAAACUGCCUGAUGGAGGGGGAUAACUACUGGAAACGGUAGCUAAUACCGCAUAACGUCGCAAGACCAAAGAGGGGACCUUCGGGCCUCUUGCCAUCAGAUGUGCCCAGAUGGGAUUAGCUAGUAGGUGGGGUAACGGCUCACCUAGGCGACGAUCCCUAGCUGGUCUGAGAGGAUGACCAGCCACACUGGAACUGAGACACGGUCCAG
rnacentral:rRNA from 1 species